UUUUGAGUGAAUGAAAGAAGAAAAGAGCCAGAACUCUAACCGGGCAGAUUCUCUUUGAGGCCAGGCUCUUAACCCCUACACUGGAGGUGGGCAGUGGGAGAGGCAGAUCAUACCAGGACUUGUUGGCUAAGGUUGAUUCUAGGAUGUGGCUAGGCGUGGAGGUAAAGGAGCUGCCUCCAUCGGGCUGGGACCCAGAGCCUUGGGCCACAGCUGGCACUCCAACCUCCUGAGCAUUGCUGGGACCAAAACAGUCCCUGGACACAAAAGGGAUGCUGGGCUGCAGGACUGCAGAUGGCUGCUCCUUCCGGACCCAGGGCAGCUGUCGCCUUUCAUCUUCCCUUCCAGCUACACUGAAGCAGGGUGUUCCUCAAGCCUCCCCUCCCCCCACUUCUUCCCCUUCUUCCCAAACUCUCUUCCCCUUGUGAGAUAGCAAAGCCUACUCUAGGGCCACAUGAUGGCUUGAAUUUUGCUCUAGCACUGAGUGGUUCCAAACAAAUGAAUUCUCUGUGACUCAAUUUCUUCAUCUGUAAAAUGGGAGGAAAAAACCAUAAACUACUUCACAAAUUGUGAGG